UACGGAGGAUGCGAGCGUUAUCCGGAUUUAUUGGGUUUAAAGGGCGCGUAGGCGGACGCUUAAGUCAGCGGUAAAAUUGCGGGGCUCAACCUCGUCGAGCCGUUGAAACUGGGUGCCUUGAGUGGGCGAGAAGUACGCGGAAUGCGUGGUGUAGCGGUGAAAUGCAUAGAUAUCACGCAGAACUCCGAUUGCGAAGGCAGCGUACCGGCGCCCAACUGACGCUGAAGCACGAAGGCGUGGGUAUCGAACAGG
rnacentral:rRNA from 1 species